CCUACGGGUGGCAGCAGUAGGGAAUCUUCCACAAUGGGCGAAAGCCUGAUGGAGCAACGCCGCGUGGGUGAAGAAGGUCUUCGGAUCGUAAAACCCUGUUGUUAGAGAAGAAAGUGACGGUACCUCAGGAAUAAGCCACGGCUAACUACGUGCCAGCAGCCGCGGUAAUACGUAGGUGGCAAGCGUUAUCCGGAUUUAUUGGGUGUAAAGGGCGUGUAGGCGGGAAAGCAAGUCAGAUGUGAAAACUCAGGGCUCAACCCUGGGCCUGCAUUUGAAACUGUUUUUCUUGAGUGCGGGAGAGGUAAUCGGAAUUCCGUGUGUAGCGGUGAAAUGCGUAGAUAUACGGAGGAACACCAGUGGCGAAGGCGGAUUGCUGGACAGUAACUGACGCUGAGGCGCGAAAGCGUGGGGAGCAAACAGGAUUAGAUACCCCUGUAGUC
rnacentral:rRNA from 1 species